rnacentral:rRNA from 1 species
GACGAACGCUGGCGGCGUGCUUAACACAUGCAAGUCGAACGGAAAGGCCCUGCUUUUGUGGGGUGCUCGAGUGGCGAACGGGUGAGUAACACGUGAGUAACCUGCCCUUGACUUUGGGAUAACUUCAGGAAGCUGGGGCUAAUACCGGAUAGGAGCUCCUGCUGCAUGGUGGGGGUUGGAAAGUUUCGGCGGUUGGGGAUGGACUCGCGGCUUAUCAGCUUGUUGGUGGGGUAGUGGCUUACCAAGGCUUUGACGGGUAGCCGGCCUGAGAGGGUGACCGGCCACAUUGGGACUGAGAUACGGCCCAGACUCCUACGGGAGGCAGCAGUGGGGAAUAUUGCACAAUGGGCGGAAGCCUGAUGCAGCAACGCCGCGUGCGGGAUGACGGCCUUCGGGUUGUAAACCGCUUUCGCCUGUGACGAAGCGUGUGUGACGGUAAUGGGUAAAGAAGCACCGGCUAACUACGUG